ACCUAAUGAUGUACCUUAAGGCCACAGAAA
rnacentral:piRNA from 1 species